rnacentral:tRNA from 1 species
GCGGGUGUAGUAUAGUCUGGUAGUACACGGCCUUGCCAUGGCCGUUGCGCGUGUUCAAAUCACGCCACCCGCA